GGAAUUAUUGGGCGUAAAGAGCUUGUAGGCGGUUUGCCGCGUCUGCUGUGAAAGCCCGGGGCUUAACUCCGGGUGUGCAGUGGGUACGGGCAGGCUAGAGUGCAGUAGGGGAGACUGGAAUUCCUGGUGUAGCGGUGAAAUGCGCAGAUAUCAGGAGGAACACCGAUGGCGAAGGCAGGUCUCUGGGCUGUUACUGACGCUGAGAAGCGAAAGCAUGGGUAGCGAACAGGAUUAGAUACCCUGGUAGUCCAUGCCGUAAACGUUGGGCACUAGGUGUGGGGGACAUUCCACGUUUUCCGCGCCGUAGCUAACGCAUUAAGUGCCCCGCCUGGGGAGUACGGCCGCAAGGCUAAAACUCAAAGGAAUUGACGGGGGCCCGCACAAGCGGCGGAGCAUGCGGAUUAAUUCGAUGCAACGCGAAGAACCUUACCAAGGCUUGACAUACACCGGACCGCGCUGGAGACAGCGUUUCCCUUCGGGGCUGGUGUACAGGUGGUGCAUGGUUGUCGUCAGCUCGUGUCGUGAGAUGUUGGGUUAAGUCCCGCAACGAGCGCAACCCUUAUCCUAUGUUGCCAGCACGUGAUGGUGGGGACUCAUGGGAGACUGCCGGGGUCAACUCGGAGGAAGGUGGGGAUGACGUCAAAUCAUCAUGCCCCUUAUGUCUUGGGCUUCACGCAUGCUACAAUGGCCGGUACAGUGGGUUGCGAUGCCGUGAGGUGGAGCUAAUCCCUAAAAGCCGGUCUCAGUUCGGAUCGAAGUCUGCAACUCGACUUCGUGAAGUUGGAGUCGCUAGUAAUCGCAGAUCAGCAAUGCUGCGGUGAAUA
rnacentral:rRNA from 1 species